GUGGGGAAUAUUGGACAAUGGGCGCAAGCCUGAUCCAGCCAUACCGCGUGGGUGAAGAAGGCCUUCGGGUUGUAAAGCCCUUUUGUUGGGAAAGAAAUCCUGUCGAUUAAUACUCGGUGGGGAUGACGGUACCCAAAGAAUAAGCACCGGCUAACUUCGUGCCAGCAGCCGCGGUAAUACGAAGGGUGCAAGCGUUACUCGGAAUUACUGGGCGUAAAGCGUGCGUAGGUGGUGGUUUAAGUCUGCUGUGAAAGCCCUGGGCUCAAACUGGGAAUUGCAGUGGAUACUGGAUAACUAGAGUGUGGUAGAUGGAUGCGGAAUUUCUGGUGUAGAAGUGAAAUGCGUAGAGAUCAGAAGGAACAUCCGUGGCGAAGGCGGCAUCCUGGGCCAACACUGACACUGAGGCACGAAAGCGUGGGGAGCAAACAGGAUUAGAUACCCCGGUAGUCC
rnacentral:rRNA from 1 species